GUUCAUCAAGGUUGGCCUUCCAGACGACAUAUAUGGAUCUAACAUCGUUUAAAAGCAACCACUGCUAUUGGUCAAACCCCAGAGCUACUCCUGGAUCUGCAGCAGACGCCUUGGGCUAACAGCACCACACUGGAAUUAAUACACACUUCACAAUAUCUUCUCUACUUGAGUCACUGAAAGCAUUGGAACAGUUUGAAAUUAAAACACAUGAAGACAUCU